CUCUCUCUCUCCCUCUCUCUCUCUGCCGCGCGACGAGUGGGCGGCGGCCGGGCUCCUGCCCGAACGAGCUGCACAACUACAACAGAUCUUUUGCAUUUCCUCCCCAAUGCAAAAACGGCCAGUACAACAAAAACAACGACAGUGCAGGAAGGGGUGUGGAUUGAACUCCAUCGAUGGAGCCACGGAGGCAACAUCCGGGCAUCAGUCAUUCGCCAAACGCAUUGCAGAAGGCUUUUAUAGAUGAUAGUAAAGAUCUAACAGAAAUGGAAAUAUCCAUGGACAGUUUAAUAUAUGCAGAGGUGCUGAAGUUUGCCAACUUCGAAUUUCGUUUGUCAUUAUUCCCUGAUCCUGAUGUAAUUUAAGGCUCUGCCAGGUCUGCAUUUUUCAUCCCUCAUUUGUUGGUUUGGUGAAAAUAGUGUAUGCACUUAACUAAGUCCAUUUUUGAAGAAACAAAACCAGGGGGUUCAGGCUCUGGUGCACCAUCAGAGAAGCAUGACUGGGGACGGCCUCCUAGCUCUGGGAAGAUGCAACAGUUAGCUUCUUUGGUUCCAAUUGCUGAAACAAUCUCAUUUUAGUUGGCUUCCAGCUCUUCAUAAAUUGUUAAGGUACCUUAUUCUAAUUGUUUAUUACCUGCUAUUUCAGUGUUGCCUUGCUAACGUAAUUAGCUAUAAAGGAAGCUACAAAACUAUUCUUGACUCUAUAUAUUUUCCUAUACGCGUUGUUAGCUAUUAUUGGUAUAGCACUUUAAUAUUAUUCUUGGCAUAUGUGUGUUUUUCCCCUUUUUCAGUAACUGUUUUAGAUCGUUGCCUACACGUAAAUGAUAGUUGAGAUUUGGCCAAUUGGCCUAUUGCAUUUGGAUUCCAAUGUUUUAAAUCAUUUGCAACUUGGCUUCAUGAGUUGUACUAGCAGUGAAAUGCAGAGUUAGGUAAUAUUAUGCCAAUAUUUGUUUUAUUUCUUCCACUAACAGAGAUGCAUGGAGCAGUAUGCUGAGUUCUUUUCGCAAGUUGUUGCUGUUCAAAAGUAUGAAAUAAUCUCUUAUGAAUGAUUUGAUGAUUUUAUUUGUUUAGAUGAGUACCUGUUCAUAAUCUAGAUAUGCAUGAUUACAGUAAGCUUAUAAUCUGAAAAUGUUUCUUUCUUGACAAACUACUUUUGUUCGGAUUCUUUAGAUGAACCAAUGGAGCAUGCUUAUAUAUUAGAAUAAUUGAUAACUCGCCAGCAUUAGGGGCUAUUUUUUUGUGCUCUACCUGAAUAAUUUUUCUCAUCUUAACAGUUGCAAAACAUCCUAGAGAAAUAUCCGAUCUAGUGACAUCAGUCUUUACUGCUUGAAAUUCUUUCACCCAAGACUCCGAGAGAUACUGAUCAUGUUUGCGAAUUCAAAUUUGGUGCUAGAUGCAGACCUGGUUUUGUUUUGUUGCUUCUUACUGCCUGAUAUUCAUUCACCUGAAAGAUACUGAUCAGGUUUGCCAAUAGAAUUUUUAUGCUAAUUGCUGACCUAAUUUGAUUUGAUUGCCUGAUAAAAGUUAAUGUACUUGGAUCAAUAUACUUUGCAUUCAAAUUGUUCUGAUUGCCUCGAGUACUGUCUACCAUAUAAAUCUUUGAUUACUGAAGUUGGGGAUGAUAGAAUUGUAUUAUGUGGUGUAGAAUUAUAGCUACCACAACUGGAGUUAGUCACACAUCUCGGCAUUGUUAAUUCUUUUGGAGCGCUGCAGAGUAAUCCUUAAUCUUUGCCUAUGAACGAUCAUCUUUGCAAGAUGUUCUAUUCUUGUAAUGUGUUUACAGUUUUAGUUUAGCAGACUACAGUCACUACGGGUUGGUUGUCUGCAUAUUGUAUACCAAGUUAUUGUAUUAUUUGUUUUUCUAGGUAAGCCACCCUUUUUUUCUCUUUGCAAAAAUGCUUCAUUAUAGUGAUCUAAAGUUGAGUACUUGGUUAAUCACAUGAACUCCGUGUGUUAGUACUCUAUGAUUCAAUUUCAUUUUCAGAAUGUUGGUAUGGUACAUGCUUAACUAACAAAAUGUUUUGUUACCAUGGCAACAAGCAUUUGUCCUUUGUGCCAAACAAGCAAAGAAAGUUUCAUAUUGCCCUUA